AACUCUUUUAAUACAUUUUAUUGCCCUUAGAUCAGCAAUAUGUGAACCAGCCUGACAGCAUCACAGAAUCAGGAACUUGUACAAACAGUCUAGUCUAAAAAAUACAUUUUUUCAUUUAAAAAGUUGUUGUUCAAUAUAGGAUAUAAAUGUCCAAAACAAACAAAAUUACCAAUUUAUCACUUAAAGUAUAUACUUUCAAUAUUAUAUAUAAUAUAAUUCCAAGAUCCUUUUAGAAGCCUGCACACCAGGUGCUAUAAAAGAAAAGAAAAUAUUAAGCCCUGACAAAAUAAUACAACUGCACAGUCACCAGACUGGCCUCAUUUCUAUAAAAUGAAAUAACUAUGACUUUAUUUGUAUAAAGAUUAACAAAUGCAGAAAUGGGAAAUAGUAGGAUUGUGAAUUCCAAAAAUUAUUCAAGUAAAUCUUAUUCCACCUACUGUGAACUGCAGCUUCAUUUGCUUUGAGCUAAUUACUUGCAUUUUCUGCAGUAAUAGGGAAAGUAAUAUAAAUUAAUUAUGACUGAAGAACAAAUCAUAUACAACUAGGAUUGACAUUUGUAGAUUGUUCAUUUUUACAGCCAACUUUUUUACAACUUUUCACACGUCCACUUUCACAUCUAUCCUACUUACUAUUCAACCUGCUUCUCACUCCCACACCAUUUACAAGUAUAUACAAAGAUCCUUCCACAUCCUUACAACGUUCCCAUCUAUGUUUCCUUUGAACUCACUUGACUAUAUACCAUCAUCAAAACACCGUACUUUACAAUUCAUAUUUGCAUCAUUUGUUUUGUCAUGGGUUUAUUUGACUAUAAAAAAAAAAAAAAACUUCACAAGACACUUCUAGGAACAGCUUUUCUGUGUUGUAAUGUGGGUGACUCUGGGGCAUUGUCUGGUGGGGGCCAUUGUGGUUUAGUUAACUGAAUGUCAUCUUCUAUUUUAAAAGAUUUCUUUGGGUGGUCUUCCUGAGGGGGCCAAACAACAGAUAUUUUAUUGCCCUGCGGUUUAUUUUGAUCUAGAUUUUCAUAACUGCGUGUUUUGUGCUUGUCUACUGAGCUUAGGCUGCCUGUUGAAUAUCUCCAUUCAUCCGAGGGGAUAGGUCCACCAGAAGAUUCCUGUACAAGUCCAUUGUCAUAAUUCCCUUUGGAUUUCAGAAGUUGUUUGUAAUGAUGUAAACAGUAGAAGUGUCCGUGGAGUGAUACAUAAUUUCCCACA
ensembl:lncRNA